CAGGAACGCGGCCGGCAGCCGCAGGUGCUGCGAAGCCGCGGUUUCGGCGGGCACAAAGCCGGGACCCCGCGGGUGGGGGAUGCUCUGCGGCUCCGUUACACGGCGCUGCCCGAGCACGACGACCCGUGCCCGAGCUCCGGGGAGGGGAAAGGCGUCCGUCCCCGGUAGAAGGGUGUGAGCGCCUUCUGUGACCCCGAGGACAAGGGCCGAGCUCCGGGCAGGGACGGGGCGCGAGGCGCAGAACGGUCCCACGUUGCUGCUGAGGUUGGAUUUCCCGAGGAACAAUAAUAAUAAUAAUAAAAAAAAUAAAAGCUUCCCUGCCUCCAACCUGACAAAGUAAACAGGAUUAAUUCGCCAUGUGCAAAAACAUUAAUACCGUCCUCAGCGCGGAAAUCGGAAGGGAAAGCAGUUUUCGCAGCACCCACGAUAUUAACACACGAUCGUAGCAAUGCAAAGCCACUGAUACACGCUCACACACCGCCGUGCCACCGAUUGCUCGAGCAUUAAUGAAGAAUGCCCGGUAUUAACUAUUUGCUCUUCGAGGGAUGGAGCGGUGCAACUCUCCAUGAGCACCAUCCGCCGCUUUGCCAUUUGUUUGCGAGUGGGCUGAGGCAGAGCGGGCGAAGGGAAAAAUGAACUGCGGUUCAUUUUGCUAAAUCCUAUUUGAGACCCGAACGCCUCGCGAAGAAGGGGACAUUCUCCGCUGUCCUUCUCCGAGCCCCGUCACAAUAGAAAUGCUCUGUUUAGAAGUAAGGCUCUAUUGUUUUUAUUACAAAUAAAUAAGCGCAUCCCUCCUGCCAUUUUACUGCAGAUGUAAAUUUAUUGUAAUGAGAGGGAGUGGAAGGAUUUAUUUUGCUAAAAUAGAGUUGGGGAUAGAGCCGGUGUAAAUCUUGGGGUUUUUUAAACAAGGAGGAAGAGAGGGAAGCUGCUUGCCUGGCAGAAAGCUGCCUUGCAGCCCUCUAAUUCUUUCUAGAUUAAAUCGCAAUAUGAAUAGAGCAUCGAACAAAUACCGAGUUUCGCUCUGAACUCAGUGGAAAGCAGUUACGUCUAACAGAAUUCAAUGAAUUCCUCUUCUCCCUCAAUGUAGUAUGUGUGUGUUUUUCUCUUCCACCACACUGAAGUUCCAUGAAUAGGGAAAGUGGCUCCUAUUGUGUGCCUCUGAACUUCCAAGUCAAUGCAAUUUUUAACCACUGGCUUGUGGUACUUUGAAAAUCACCAGGGGCUGUCAGAGUUGGGUCCUCUGAAAAAUUUACAGUGCUAAAUCAGAGCAUAUGCUGUGAGAGAGGAAAAAAAAUUGCUUAAGAUUGGAGCAAGUACAGUAUCUGGCUGCCCCCUAGUAUCUGCGCCUUUUGCCGUAAUAAAGCAAGGAUAAAUAAUUGCCAUAAAGCCUCCGCCGCGCCGCCAACCACACCUUCGGAGGAGACGAACUACCACAAGACAGUGUGCAUAUGGGGACCAAAUAUGUGAAGACAGAGUUGAUGGAUCUGGAGCCCUGACUGCUGCCCGGCAAUGGCUCAACACGGACUGCUCUCAUCCUGGCUGCUCUUCAACAGUACUUUGAACUGCAUGAAGACCUAAGAACCAAGCCAACAGCAAGAGCAUGACCAAGAAUCUGAGAAUCAAGCCCGCACCAAGUGCGUGACCAAGUGUUUACUCCUCUUCCAGACCAUACCUGAAACAUGGCGUGAAGUUUCAUUCUCUUCUUCUGCAGGUUCCUGAUGCCAAAGGUCUGACCUUACAAUGAGCAGCACACGGGGUGAGAUUGGGCACUGCACUGAGCUUCACACACAGCUAUUUUGGUAACCAGAACUGUGUAGUCAGGAUAGUACAAGCACAAGCACAGUGAACGAUUUAUCAACAUAUUAACUCUAUCAGUGCUGUGUCCCUGGACAGGUUCCUGUGUCUAUUUCAGAUCAUAAACUCAGGCUUGAAGAAAUCUUUGUCUGCAGGAGAGGCUCAGCCUGGCUUACUGCCACACCACUGCCCUUGCUAAUCCACAUACUUCCAGCCCUGAUGCACUGGGACCACCACUGCUGGCCAAUUUCUAGCAAAAUCUUGUUGCCUAGAUCCUGCCAACAACCAGGGAACAAACGCAAGCCAGCAGAGAAAAUGAACGACCAGAAGUACCAGGAUCCUGCCAUCCUAUCCUCUGCUGUCAGGUUGGGGUCACAACUGCCAUUUGGAGAAGCUUCCAUGGAGAUGUGAACAGAAUAUGAAUACAAUUCUGUAAUUACUUCAAAAUCUUUGGGAAUGAUGGAAAUUCUGUUGAUUCCAGCCUCUGCUUUCCAUUAUGGAAGAUGUUUGUGCAACAGGUUUGCUGAAGAUGGAACACUACUGAAAUGGGUAAUUUUAUAAACGCAUUGGGGAGGGUAAGUAUCCAACAGAAAAGAAGUCAAGCAGAAGCAGAAAUUAGUCUGCUUGAAACAAACAAACUAAGGAAUGCCUGCUAAAGAGUCAUGAAUUUCUUUAGAACACUUUUUUUCCCUAAAUCACCUACAGAAACUCUGCAGCUGAAGAUGUUUUGAUAGCAGUUAUGAUCAGAACACCAGCACUUCUCAUACGUGAAAUACAACAUUGGGAAGGAUUUUUUCACUCCUCAAAUCACUCUUCUGAGGCUUUAUAUCAAUCUCAAGCAAUUUGCCUGGCCAUUUCUAUGAUAAAAUAGGUGUUUUUAUCCAUUUAGAAGAGCAAUAAAACUAAGGAAAAUUCAGGCAGAACAUGCUCUUUCUUUAAAGCUUCAACUCAUAGUAAGAAUCUGGUUUGUGCUGUACUUCUCUCAUGAACUCAACUUUCCAUAGUGCAUUAAGUGUUGUAAUAAUGCAAAUCAAAUACAAAUUUUAAUAACUCCUUCCAUUAAAAUGAUCUAUUAAAGUUUUAAGAGUCCAACACUUAUGAGCAUUAUUCUAAUUGCAUGAUUUUGCUCGGGGCAGGUUUUACAGAUCUGCCUGAUCAUUGGAUAUUUGCACAUUUAGGAUAAUUUUAAAUUAAUUUUUGGAAGAGUUUCAGUCUCAGUAGCAACAGUUGUUUAAUAGUUGUCUUGUGGGUAACUACGCAUCUGCUUCCACACGAGAAAGAAAACUACAUACAUUUAGAACUCUGGGAAAGGAGGUGGUGGAGGUUUAUAGAAUGACGAGCAAUAUGAAGAACAUUCUGAAGAUGUGUGCUCACUUUAGUGCAAGGAGCAAAAGAGGCUUAAGAAGUAAUAUACAUGUUAGGCAACACAGUCAAAUUGUGGUAUUCUCCCACAGAACACCAGCAGAUAUAAUCAUAUGAAGAAAAGCUUUAGAAUUCACUGAGUGCAGCUCCAUUGAUACCAUUCACCUUUCUCAUUUCAUGCAACUUGUAGGAUGGAUUUCUAACAGAAGGAUGUGCAGUGGAACUCGCACACACUGGCUUAGAAAGUGGGCAAUGCUUUGCAAAGCUUCCUAACAUGUUUAUGUUAACAGAAAUAAGUCAGAUCAGUGCUGAGGGACAAAGUUCGGUAAUUCCUCCUCAGAAUCCAUCCCAAACAAAACCACUGUGAGAUAUUACAUGAUAUAUAUGGUCUGUGUCUGAGGUCUUCCAUGAGAACUUUGUAUGGGAUAAUAAUGCCAAACAGGCAAAAAGGGUUGGAGAGAACAAAUCAGUUUUCAUGGGGCUUCCCAACUAAAAAGAAGUUAAAGAUAUUUCAAAAUAAUGUAAAGUGUCUCAGUAGAUACUAUUCUAAAUUAUCAUUGGCCUUGAAAUAUGCUUUGGUUUAAAAUUUUAAUUUCUAUACAAAAGCAAAAAAAAAAAAAAAAGAAAUAUUUUGAGAUUACUGAAGAAAAUAAUUUGGUGCUUAUUCUGUUCCUUUUAAAUGCAUUGGUUAGUCACAGAAUUAGUUGAAAAAAAAUGAAAUCUUAAGAACUCCCAAAGGAUAGGAUGAAGUAUUUCUCUGCUAGUUACAAAAUGAGAGAAAAAUCUUAUGUCACUUUCAUUAGUGCAUAGAUUUAGUGAAACACUCACAUUCUCAUAGAGGCACAUACUGGAACUCAGGGUUUGGGUUUCCUUCCAAGUGUGAUGCUUACACACGGUAAGUGAUAACUCUUUCUUUAUUAGACACUGUCAUCUACAUUUCUAGAGAAAUACCUGGAGGUGUUCCAGCCUCCACACGGGUGAUGGCCUUUUUUUCCUUAUGGAACAGAAUCCUAGAAUCCUUUGAAUUGGAAAGGGCCCUUAAAGGUCAUCUAGCCCAACUCACAUGCAAUGAACACGGACAUCUGCAACUCGAUCAGGGGGCCUUGAGCCCAGUCCAGCCUGACCCUGAGUGCCUUUGAGGACAGGGCAUCAUUUUUCCUACACCGCCACAAACAGGACAGGAAGUCUGAGCAGGGAAUUUCAGCCACUUUUAGUUCACAGGCUAACGUGUUAAAACAAAAAUGAUGAUUAACUCUUAAGUAAUUUAGAAGUGGGCUAUCCAAGGUGAAAGAGCCCUAGAUGCCAGGAAGGGUUAGGCUUUGGGCAGGGGACAAGGCAGCCAACACAGGGAUGUUGUGCACAGCCAUACUGUGCAAUGAUAAUGGUGCGGGGCAGGAACAUCCCAAGGUGUCUGCCCAAUUUGUCAGGAAUUUCUCCUCUGAACUAUUACCUCCAGAUCUCCCUAGAACACCCUCGGUCCUUUUAUCUCUUGAGCUAUCUCAGAGUUUACUGCCUGCCUAUCGCCUUGGCUGAACUACACUAAUAGUGAACUAAUUACAUAUGAACGCUCUAAUUUGCUUUAUGUCUUUCUCAAAAAACCACACGUGUGCAGGCAUGCACACAAGUAAACUUUUGCUCAUGCUAUAAAAUUGCAGCACGAUGUAGAAUCAGUGCAGCAGCCCCAACAUUACAAAACAUCACAUGCUCACUGCCCAUCUACUGCUUGUCCCUAUCAGGCCACCACCAGUGCUUGUCAUUCCUGAUCUGCGACAUCGCCUGCUGCUCCAGACCAGAAAAGGGAGCAAAGAAGAGAAAUACGUGUUUGUCAUUGAACUGAACUGAGAAGAAGGAAGACGAGAACGAUAAGAUCAUCGCCUGCAGCACUUUGUUUAUGAGAACAUCCUUCCAGUGAUAUAUGCCUGCACCAGGUGAAAGUAUUGUGUCACCCCUAACAUAUUUUAAAUGCCAGGGCUGUCAUGCAAGAAGACAAUGAUGAACAAGUUUAAACAGAAUAUGGUAUUGUAGCCAUGUGCAGUGUUACCUUUUAAAGGUUUGCAUCAGUAGCAUUUCUUAACAAAACAUUUACAAACUGUUACAUUCCCCUACAGAACCUCUUUCAUAUUCCCAAUGAAAUUACUUCUAUUGUAGAUGAAGUAUGCGUAACAUAAUACACAUAUUAAACAAAUCAGGCCACUUUCUCAUGCAAGUUUUUCAGCCUAUUUCAUGUGACCUCCCAGCCAUACUAUUUGAUCUUAACUCCUUGGAUAACAGUUUAGGGACUACACCUCACUUGGCAAAUACAUCUAUAAAGGGACAUCCACACUGCUCCAAGAGCAGGAGCCUGCCCCAGGUCAGAAGUUUGUUUGGUUGAGCUCUGGUGUGUGCCUAUGAAUUAGCUGCUGGAACUCCCAGACUGCAUUACCUAGUUUAAUUUCACACGAAAGGACUCACAUGCUGUGGAGCACAGAACGCAGGGUUAGCUGGAGAAUUCACUUAAAAUACACUCCUGUCCCAAAAAUGGAACACUACUUGAGAAACACCUCUUGCCAAAAAGCAGGUAUGCAUAGAACUAUCAGCAUAUGGCAGUUUUCUUCCCAGAUAAAUAUCUCAAACUUAACUGCAUGAACACCAUCACUGUGCUACAAGGCCAUUGCACAACAUGACUAUUUUCCCAGACUGACAGUUCAGAGAGUCUUGGGAACACCAGCAUCCAACACAUGAUUCUGAACACACACACACACACACCACCAUAUCCACCUUGGAUCCAGAUGAAAGAGCUUUCACCACCUAUGUCUCAUGGAAGGAAGGCAACCAUGACAUCAGUUUUCCAUCUUUGAGGUCAGAGCCAUCCUGUGAACACCCAGGACAUCUACAGGAGAGGAAAGGGCAUUCCUGAGUGCCUGAAAAAUGCCCACAGAGCUAGGAUUCCUUAAACACUGACUGAGGGGGUCCUGUGUGGACUUGCGUAACCUGUUCAACACCUCUCCAUCAGUUUUCUUUUCUGCAGAAUGGAGACACCUGAUUUUUUUACUCACAAGGUUAUUAGGAGGACUUUCCAAUUAAAGUUCUUUACAAAUGAAA